rnacentral:rRNA from 1 species
UGGGGAAUCUUCCGCAAUGGACGAAAGUCUGACGGAGCAACGCCGCGUGAGUGAUGACGGCCUUCGGGUUGUAAAGCUCUGUUAAUCGGGACGAAAGGCCUUCUUGCGAAUAGUGAGAAGGAUUGACGGUACCGGAAUAGAAAGCCACGGCUAACUACGUGCCAGCAGCCGCGGUAAUACGUAGGUGGCAAGCGUUGUCCGGAAUUAUUGGGCGUAAAGCGCGCGCAGGCGGAUCAGUCAGUCUGUCUUAAAAGUUCGGGGCUUAACCCCGUGAGGGGAUGGAAACUGCUGAUCUAGAGUAUCGGAGAGGAAAGUGGAAUUCCUAGUGUAGCGGUGAAAUGCGUAGAUAUUAGGAAGAACACCAGUGGCGAAGGCGACUUUCUGGACGAAAACUGACGCUGAGGCGCGAAAGCCAGGGGAGCGAACGGGAUUAGAUACCCCGGUAGUCCUGGCCGUAAACGAUGGGUACUAGGUGUAGGAGGUAUCGACCCCUUCUGUGCCGGAGUUAACGCAAUAAGUACCCCGCCUGGGGAGUACGACCGCAAGGUU